CCCUUAGAUGUUCUGGGCCGCACGCGCGCUACACUGAUGCAUUCAACAAGCCUAGCCUUGACCGAGAGGUCCGGGUAAUCUUUGAAACUGCAUCGUGAUGGGGCUAGAUUAUUGCAAUUAUUAAUCUUCAACGAGGAAUGCCUAGUAAGCGUGAUUCAUCAAAUCGCGUUGAUUACGUCCCUGCCCUUUGUACCCACCGCCCGUCGCUCCUACCGAUUGAAUGUGUUGGUGAGGAGCUCGGAUUGGCAGCAGUUGGUGGUUCGCCACCGGCUAUUGCUGAGAAGUCCUCCAAACCGCCCCAUUUAGAGGAAGGAGAAGUCGUAACA
rnacentral:rRNA from 1 species